rnacentral:rRNA from 1 species
CCUACGGGUGGCUGCAGUCGAGAAUCAUUCACAAUGGGGGCAACCCUGAUGGUGCGACGCCGCGUGGGGGAAUGAAGGUCUUCGGAUUGUAAACCCCUGUCAUGUGGGAGCAAAUUAAAAAGAUAGUACCACAAGAGGAAGAGACGGCUAACUCUGUGCCAGCAGCCGCGGUACUACAGAGGUCUCAAGCGUUGUUCGGAAUCACUGGGCGUAAAGCGUGCGUAGGCGGUUUCGUAAGUCGUGUGUGAAAGGCGGGGGCUCAACCCGCGGACGGCACAUGAUACUGCGAGACUAGAGUAAGGGAGGGGGAGCCGGAAUUCGCGGUGUAGCAGUGAAAUGCGUAGAUAUCGAGAGGAACACUCGUGGCGAAGGCGGGUUCCUGGACAUUAACUGACGCUGAGGCACGAAGGCCAGGGGAGCGAAAGGGAUUAGAUACCCUUGUAGUC